UCCGUCAUUACAUAUUAUAUUAUAUUGCAUGCGAGGCUGCAGUCCCACACAGCCCCACUCCACUUGUUCCACUCAAACCCUUCGCUCGGGGCGAAGAAGACGGCCGCGAACGUGGCGAAGAGGCGAUGCGAGAUGGUGGCAUCACGGUGUGGACCACUCCACGGCAGGCAGGCAUCGCCGGAUAUUCCAUGGGAUGUGCGUUCGAUCCCUUCGGAGCCAAAGGCAAAAAGACGUGCCACUGUCUGCUGUUUCGAACUGAAACGUACAGUAUAAUAUCGAAUAGCUUACCCUCCACCUAACCCGCCCAUUAUUAUGUACUCGUCGGCUCCCUCUCCUCCGUUCAUCGAUCGUUAUUGCUGCGUGACUUGACACCCACAAGACGCAUAAAGCCUGCGUAUUGUGUCAUCAGAUGCCAACAUGCAUCUACUCGAAUCCCAACUUCAGUUCCCGUUAACCUGCAUGAUUCCUGUAGAUUAUGAUGAUACCUUUAAAUAAUAGAAGAGAUGAAGAAUGAUAGAGAAGCACAUUACAUCACUCGUGGUCUACAUAGUCUGCUGGAAUUACCUCAGUUCCUACAUUGACCCAUUGAUGAUCCCGCUUGAGAUCUCAAAUGGCACCCACCUCAGGUAGCUCUGUGUCCAGAAGCUGCAGCUACGACCAUUUCUUUCCAACGU
rnacentral:lncRNA from 1 species